AUUGAACGCUGGCGGCAGGCUUAACACAUGCAAGUCGAGCGGAGAUGAGGUGCCUGCACCUUAUCUUAGCGGCGGACGGGUGAGUAAUGCUUAGGAAUCUGCCUAUUAGUGGGGGACAACAUUCCGAAAGGAAUGCUAAUACCGCAUACGCCCUACGGGGGAAAGCAGGGGAUCUUCGGACCUUGCGCUAAUAGAUGAGCCUAAGUCGGAUUAGCUAGUUGGUGGGGUAAAGGCCUACCAAGGCGACGAUCUGUAGCGGGUCUGAGAGGAUGAUCCGCCACAGUGGGGAUGAGACAGGGCACAGACUCCUACGGGAGGAAGCAGAGGGGAAUAUUGGAGAAUGGGCGGAAGCCUGAUCCAGCCAUGCCGCGUGUGUGAAGAAGGCCUUUUGGUUGUAAAGCACUUUAAGCGAGGAGGAGGCUACCUGGAUUAAUACUCUAGGAUAGUGGACGUUACUCGCAGAAUAAGCACCGGCUAACUCUGUGCCAGCCGCCGCCGUAACAC
rnacentral:rRNA from 1 species